CUGUCUAUACUUCACCAUUGUUCCAGAGUUUUUCAUAAGUUUUCAAAAUAAAACACAGAGUUCCCAGCAAUGAUUCUCAAGUCUCUCUAUAUGUGGUAUUUGUGGAUCCUUACCAUAAUGUCACUUACCUAUAGCUAAUAGAAUAAUUAAGUGGAGCUCAUAGGAGUGGAAAACAGCUCAUACAUAUGUUGUCUAAUCGAGCCAUGGAUCCAAAGGAACUUAACAUAUAAUUAAAUCAAGAUGUGCAUGUGUGAUGGAGUAAAUGAUAGUGAAAAUGCAUAAGUGAUAAUAAAACUUAGUUCUCAUUGCUCCUCAUAUUGCUAUCUGUCCUCUUCUUUGAUCUUUACUUUUGGAGAACAUGGGCUAUCUUUUCUUUCUCUUAUUUUUUUUCAGGUGGGUAGUAGAUACCCCUAAUUCUACUGUCGGACACUUGUCCAUUUUUUCCGCUCAAGUGGGCAUCUUUGUACCCCUAAUUCUACUUCAGACACUUGUCCAUUUUUACCUCUCGUCUCACUCUUUUUCUUUCUUUUUUCUUCGAGGUUCCGGGCACUUGCCCCUUUUUAUUUCCUUGUAUAUUUUUGCAUAACCCAUGCCUCUUCUGCAUUGAAUCUUUUUAGAGAGAGAGAAUAACAAUACUUGGGACAGUGAGUGAUAAUAUAUUUUUAGCAAUUUUAAUGAUUGAUGAAUGAAUGCUGUGGUAGAUGUGUGCAAGUGAAUAUCUUAAUUUAACCACAUGAAAAGCUCCUAAGGGUCUACACAGCUCGAUCAAACUCAAUGUAAAUAUAGUAAAAGAUGUUAUAGCAAGUAUGGCUGUGGUAGGUAGUUUGUUAUGCUAGGAACUCAUCAUGUGAUUUGUAAGUUUUCAAAAUAAAUCUCUAGAACUUAGUGUAGUAGGAACAAGAUAAACAGUGGCUCAACUUUAUAUCAUGCCUUUCUCUUACCUAGACUUUAGUUUUAUGCUUCCCAAAGAUAGUAAUUUUAGUUUCAGUAAUUCCUGGAAGAACUCUAAUAUAAAAGCUAGGUACUUGUAAGUAAGCAAACAGAGCAACUGUUCAUCAUUUCCAUGUAUAUUUUUUUGGUCUUUUUGUUUUUUUAGAGAUUAAACUUAGUAGAAAAUUAAAACACACUUAUCUACACACUCUUUUUAUUUUGUUUUCAUGUUUAUAGAAUGCAGUAACAUUAAAGCAAGAAAAUAUUUAUUUGGUUUUCUAAGUUUUUUUUUCUUUUUAAGAUAAAUUAAAUACUAAGACAGAAUAGAAUAAAUAAGAAGAGCAAAUAGAAAUUUACUUGAUAAAUUUGGGAGGAACUCCCCCAAGCUGGAUGUUGACGUCGGUCUUACCCGAUGUUCCAGAACCGCAUCAUGGUUGUGAUGUUGUCGUUCAUUGUUGUUGUAUCUUGUCUGAGCUCUUCUACUGCAGCGGCAUGGUCCUGGUUCCAUUUUUGUUGCUCUUCCAGGAGUCUUCCAUGUUCUGCUUGCGUGUUCUGGAUGUCGAGGAGGGUGUUGUCGGUCCGAGUGAAGAAAGCACCGGCCUCUUGAUAGUAGUCAUUCGUGAAGGCGUAGGAGGCGUCGGAGUAUCGUCCUGCAUCAAAUUGGGGCGGAGGUCUGGAUCCUGAAGCUCCAUAUGGAUCAGUGGAGUACCUGCCCGUAUGAAAAGGCGGGUUUGUCCACUGGUGAUCUUGGCUCUCCGGCCAUGUCUCCUCUGUUGGCUCUUGUGGUUGUGCAUGACGAGCCCAUGGGUCUCGAAGGACUCGUGGAUUGUAAUCACAAUAAUGCAGGUGCGCUGCUUCUUCUGGUCCAGGGUCAGCUCCAUACCAAGUGCGUUCUCGGUGAGUGGUUAUCCUUUCAGAUGCCACUCGCUGUGGAGUUCUCUGGUUCACUGGUGUUGCUGCAAUUUCAAUCAAAAAGUUUUGCACAGAGUAGAGGCCAAGGUUCGGGUUAGGUAACCGAAUCUUGCCUUUAUCAUCAUACAACAUAUACAUUAUAUUUUCCUCUUUCUUUAACAUCCGAGCUUGUCUAAAUGUGUCAUAGCCAUGAUAAAUUCUUAAUUCUUCUAUGAAGUCCAAUGAUGAGUUUUCUAGUAAGUGAAGAUUAGUGGCUAGACGAGUGAUAAGUGAAGUACAUCCCUUAGAAGCCAAGUUCUCGGAACAUAGGGUACGUGGUACGGGAACGUGGUACGCGGUACGACAUUCUCAUAAACUAUGCAACGUAGGGGGUAUAUAGCUUUGUCUCGUUCCUUUAAGUUGCGGAACGCGUUCCACUUUCUAAAAGAACGUGUUUGGGACGUAGUGGCUGACUCAGGUAGUUUUACGUGUUGUUUUGAUCCAAAUGAAUUCGAUUCCUAGCGUGAUAUAAUUUACUAUUGUAUUUUUGUUUCAUUUAGGGCUGUCCAACUCCAACUUUAAGGCUCAUUGCAGGUCUAGGCCAAUGAGUCAAUCACCAUCUAGAUUUUUCGCCGACCGCUCACGGACGGGCACGACGCAGUAUGCACACACACCACGAAGUUCCAUAGUCGCUUGGGACUGACGUUCCUAUGAUUGCUUCUAUAUAUGAUUCGUGUUCCACCACAUUUGGGAACGAUGUUCCAUGAUGUUCCCGUUUCACGUUUCGGGACGAAGUUCCCGGAACGGGGAACGUGGCCAUGUUCCCGUACCCCGGCUGCUAAGGUACAUCCUACUGGUCCCUGAAGACUAGGUAUACUAAGCCAAUGUGAAACUAAUAAUGUAACAGGU
rnacentral:lncRNA from 1 species